CUUGGUGCUGUUAUUUAUAGAAUAAAAUUAUAUUCAUUUCUUUAAUACGCUAGAAUGAGAUGCUUGUAUUCUCCAUUGAUGAAAAACUUUUAACAAGGAGAUAAUCUCGUGUUUCUUGAUAAUGGUAUGUAUUGAAAUAAAGUCACAUAUAUAUACAUAGUGUAGUGGUAUAUAGGUAAAGUUCCAAUCAUUGGAGUGGGAGGCAUAAACUCCGGGGAAGAGGCCUACAAAAAAAUCCGGUCUGGUGCUAGCCUGGUUCAGCUUUACACAGCUCUUAUUUAUCAGGGACCACCAGUAGUCAAGAGGAUCAAACGGGAGCUGCAAGAAUUACUCAAACGGGAUGGUUUUAAUAAUGUUUCGGAAGCGGUGGGAGUUGACGUCAAGUUAUGAUGAAACAGAAGACUAACUCCGAGUUUUUUAUUUGUGUAUUCAUUGAAACUCUUAAUUGUUAGUCACUGUGGGGAAACAGGAAGUACCCGAAAAUCCAAAAAAUAAAUUAUGGGGAAGCAGGAA